rnacentral:rRNA from 2 species
UACGUAGGGACCAAGCGUUGUUCGGAUUUACUGGGCGUAAAGGGCGCGUAGGCGGCUUUGUAAGUCACUUGUGAAAUCUCCGGGCUUAACUCGGAACGGCCAAGUGAUACUGCAAAGCUAGAGUGCAGAAGGGGCAAUCGGAAUUCUUGGUGUAGCGGUGAAAUGCGUAGAUAUCAAGAGGAACACCUGAGGUGAAGACGGGUUGCUGGGCUGACACUGACGCUGAGGCGCGAAAGCCAGGGGAGCAAACGGG